CCUAAGGUAGCGAAAUUCCUUGUCAGGUAAGUUCUGACCCGCACGAAUGGCGUAAUGAUUUGGGCACUGUCUCGACAGCCCGCCCGGCGAAAUUGUAGUACUGGUGAAGAUGCCAGUUACCCGCAACUAGACGGAAAGACCCCAUGGAGCUUUACUGCAGCUUAAUACUGAAAUUCGGUAGUACAUGUACAGGAUAGGUGGGAGACUGAGAAAUACAGGCGUCAGCUUGUAUGGAGUCGCUGUUGGGAUACCACUCUUGUACUGCUGGGUUUCUAACCUGCGGCCGUGAAUCCGGUCGGGGGACACUGUUAGGCGGGCAGUUUGACUGGGGCGGUCGCCUCCAAAAAGGUAACGGAGGCGCUCAAAGGUUCGUUCAGCACGGACGGAAAUCGUGCAUUGAGUGUAAACGCAUAAACGAGCCUAACUGCGAGACCGACGGGUCGAGCAGUAACGAAAGUUGGAGUUAGUGAUCCGGUGGUAUGUGAGUGGAAAUGCCAUCGCUCAACGGAUAAAAGCUACCCUGGGGAUAACAGGCUGAUCUCCCCCAAGCGUCCACAGCGACGGGGAGGUUUGGCACCUCGAUGUCGGCUCGUCGCAUCCUGGGGCUGAAUUCGGUCCCAAGGGUUUGGCUGUUCGCCAAUUAAAGCGGCACGCGAGCUGGGUUCAGAACGUCGUGAGACAGUUCGGUCCCUAUCUGUUGCGGGCGUAAGAGAUUUGAAGGGAGCUGUCCUUAGUACGAGAGGACCGGGAUGGACGUACCUCUGGUGCACCAGUUGUCCUGCCAAGGGCAUAGCUGGGUAGCUAUGUACGGACGAGAUAAACGCUGAAAGCAUCUAAGCGUGAAACUCCCCCUAAGAUGAGAUCUCUCAUCCUUUAAGGAGUAAGGACCCAGAAAGACGAUCUGGUUGAUAGGCCGAAGGUGGAAGCGCAGUAAUGUGUGGAGCUGAUCGGUACUAAUAGUCCGAGGGCUUGACCUA
rnacentral:rRNA from 1 species